rfam:Gossypium arboreum cultivar AKA8401 contig_38063_1, whole genome shotgun sequence.
AACCUAUGGUGAGGGCACCUUCUCAAUAGAUCUUUGUAUCUCUCCCAUGCAUCAUAAAGUGUUUCUAAAUCCAUCUGCACAAAAGAAGAGAUAUCAUUCCUUAAUUU